GGCCUUGUCGGAUCUCUGGAGAAUCUUCCUUUCUCUUCAUCCUUAAGGAAAAGCCCCUGUUCGGGCUAUUUCUGUCCCGCUCCAUCUACAGUGGCGUCGCGCACAUGUCUUCCGAUCUUGUUCCGUUACAUAAAUGAGCGACAAAGCUAAUUUUACUGUAAUAUCUCUCUCUUCACUACGCUGCUGCUCUUCUCCUCUCUCAACACAUGUACAUAUAUGUGCAGUCUCCAUCCCACGGAUCAUCCAUUUGCAUCUCUAUCUGCAGCUCGCACCACCUCUUCCUGGCACCAUGCCAAUGGAUGUUGUUGGUGUUUUUCACCAUAUUCAAAUGGCUAAAAAAUCGCAUUCCACUCCACAAAAAAAACGUAACCUUUCCCAA
rnacentral:sRNA from 1 species